rnacentral:tRNA from 1 species
CCCCUGGUGGUCUAGUGGCUAAGACUUCAUGCUAGCAAUGCAGAGGGCCUGGGUUUGAUCCCCAGUCAGGGAA